rnacentral:rRNA from 1 species
CAAAAACAUCGCCUCCUGCAAUACAACCAAGUAUAGGAGGUCCAGCCUGCCCAGUGACUGUAAGUUCAACGGCCGCGGUAUUUUGACCGUGCAAAGGUAGCGCAAUCACUUGUCUUUUAAAUAGAGACCUGUAUGAAUGGCUAAACGAGGGCUUAACUGUCUCCCUUUUCAAGUCAGUGAAAUUGAUCCACCCGUGCAGAAGCGGGUAUAAUAAUACAAGACGAGAAGACCCUUUGGAGCUUAAGGUACAAAACUCAACCACGUCAAGCAACUCAACAAAAAGCAAAAACUUCGUGGGACAUGAGAUUUUACCUUCGGUUGGGGCGACCGCGGAGGAAAAAAAAGCCUCCAAGUGGACCGGGACACACUCCUAAAACCAAGAGGGACACCUCUAAGCCACAGAACAUCUGACCAAACAUGAUCCAGCUACUAAAGCCGAUCAACGAACCAAGUUACCCUAGGGAUAACAGCGCAAUCCUCUCCCAGAGUCCAUAUCGACGAGAGGGUUUACGACCUCGAUGUUGGAUCAGGACAUCCUAAUGGUGCAGCCGCUAUUAAGGGUUCGUUUGUUCAACGAUUAAAGUCCUACGUGAUCUGAG